rnacentral:rRNA from 1 species
AUGCAACGCGAAAAACCUUACCCACCUUUGACAUGUACGGAACUUGCCAGAGAUGGCUUGGUGCUCGAAAGAGAGCCGUAACACAGGUGCUGCAUGGCUGUCGUCAGCUCGUGUCGUGAGAUGUUGGGUUAAGUCCCGCAACGAGCGCAACCCUUGUCAUUAGUUGCUACAUUCAGUUGGGCACUCUAAUGAGACUGCCGGUGACAAGCCGGAGGAAGGUGGGGAUGACGUCAAGUCCUCAUGGCCCUUAUAGGUGGGGCUACACACGUCAUACAAUGGCUGGUACAAAGGGUUGCCAACCCGCGAGGGGGAGCUAAUCCCACAAAGCCAGUCGUAGUCCGGAUCGUAGUCUGCAACUCGACUACGUGAAGUCGGAAUCGCUAGUAAUCGUGGAUCAGAAUGUCACGGUGAAUACGUUCCCGGGUCUUGUACACACCGCCCGUCACACCAUGGGAGCGGGUUCUGCCAGAAGUAGUUAGCUUAACCGCAAGGAGGGCGAUUACCACGGCAGGGUUCGUGACUGGGGUGAAGUCGUAACAAGGUAGCCGU